rnacentral:rRNA from 1 species
CCUACGGGCGGCAGCAGUCGAGAAUCAUUCACAAUGGGGGAAACCCUGAUGGUGCGACGCCGCGUGGGGGAAUGAAGGUCUUCGGAUUGUAAACCCCUGUCAUGUGGGAGCAAAUUAAAAAGAUAGUACCACAAGAGGAAGAGACGGCUAACUCUGGGCCAGCAGCCGCGGUAAUACAGAGGUAUCAAGCGUUGUUCGGAAUCACUGGGCGUAAAGCGUGCGGAGGCUGUUUCGUAAGUCGUGUGUGAAAGGCGCGGGCUCAACCCGCGGACGGCAGAUGAUACUGCGAGACUAGAGUGAUGGAGAGGGAGCCGGAAUUCUCGGUGUAGCAGUGAAAUGCGUAGAUAUCGAGAGGAACACUCGUGGCGAAGGCGGGUUCCUGGACAUUAACUGACGCUGAGGCACGAAGGCCAGGGGAGCGAAAGGGAUUAGAUACCCGGGUAGUC